AAUGGAAAGAACGUCGAUUGAGUCUGCGGUUGCAGUACGGUGUCAUCUUACAAGGCAUGUCAGCAUAGAGAGAAAUCGCAUCACAUAUCCACAUCCAUAUAUGCUGAACCAAUCUUGUAUCAUGUUAAUACUGGCUAGACCGCUUUGCAGCAAGGUAUUUGAUGACAAAAAUGAGAUUUAUUUUCAGUCUUAUUCUAGUUCAGUUCAACUGGAUAGAGUAUAGAGAGGAGACUAAUAAUAAAUUUAUGAGAACUGUAUCAGCGUUAUACACAGCUUUUCUGCAGAGAACAUGACAAUCGACUUCUAUUACAUGGACAUAAGUCCUCCAGUAAGGGCGGUCAACUUAUGUUUGGCGGCGCUCAAUUUGGAAGUAAACAGGAAGGAAAUAAAUCUAUUCAACAUGGAAAACUUGGAGCCUGCUUUUAUACAAUUGAAUCCUCAACACACAAUCCCAACCAUAGUUGAUGAUGGAUUUGUUCUCUGGGACAGGUUGGUAAUCAAAUA